rnacentral:misc_RNA from 1 species
CGGCAGAUGUGUAUAAGAGACAGGUGAAUCAUCGAAUCUUUGAACGCACAUUGCGCCCCUUGGUAUUCCGAGGGGCAUGCCUGUUCGAGCGUCAUUAUCACCCCUCAAGCUUUGCUUGGUGUUGGGGCCUGCUGUAAUAGGCAGCCCUUAAAAUCAGUGGCGGUGCUUCAAGGCUCUAAGCGUAGUAAUUCUCCUCGCUAUAGUGUCUAGUGGUUGCCAGCCAGAACCCCCCAAUUUUCAUGAUUGACCUCGGAUCAGGUAGGGAUACCCGCUGAACUUAAGCAUAUCAAUAAGCGGAGG